rnacentral:rRNA from 1 species
AUCUUCGGCAAUGGACGCAAGUCUGACCGAGCAACGCCGCGUGAGCGAAGAAGUAUCUCGGUAUGUAAAGCUCUAUCAGCAGGGGAGAAAAUGACGGUACCUGACUAAGAAGCACCGGCUAAAUACGUGCCAGCAGCCGCGGUAAUACGUAUGGUGCAAGCGUUAUCCGGAUUUACUGGGUGUAAAGGGAGCGUAGACGGAGAAGCAAGUCUGGAGUGAAAGCCCGGGGCUCAACCCCGGGACUGCUUUGGAAACUGUUUGUCUAGAGUGCCGGAGAGGUAAGCGGAAUUCCUAGUGUAGCGGUGAAAUGCGUAGAUAUUAGGAGGAACACCAGUGGCGAAGGCGGCUUACUGGACGGUAACUGACGUUGAGGCUCGAAAGCGUGGGGAGCAAAC